rnacentral:rRNA from 1 species
UACGUAGGGUGCAAGCGUUGUCCGGAAUUAUUGGGCGUAAAGAGCUCGUAGGCGGUCAGUCGCGUCUGCUGUGAAAACUCGGGGCUUAACUCCGGGCCUGCAGUGGGUACGGGCUGACUAGAGUGCGGUAGGGGAGACUGGAAUUCCUGGUGUAGCGGUGAAAUGCGCAGAGUAUCAGGAGGAACACCGGUGGCGAAGGCGGGUCUCUGGGCCGUAACUGACGCUGAGGAGCGAAAGCGUGGGGAGCGAACAGG